UACAGAGGUCUCAAGCGUUGUUCGGAUUCAUUGGGCGUAAAGGGUGCGUAGGUGGCGCCAUAAGUCAGGUGUGAAAUCUCGGAGCUCAACUCCGAAACUGCACUUGAUACUGUGGUGCUGGAGUACUGGAGAGGAGAUUGGAAUUUACGGUGUAGCAGUGAAAUGCGUAGAUAUCGUAAGGAAGACCAGUGGCGAAAGCACUCUGCUGGGCCGACACUGACACUGAGAGACGAAAGCUAGGGGAGCGAAUGGG
rnacentral:rRNA from 1 species